rnacentral:rRNA from 1 species
GAUUUCUGAUGCGACCUGCCUGGCCCGCCGUGGUUACACGUGUGAGUGCCGGGUGUUGUCCGUCUGUCUUCCUAUGACUCGCCGCCCUCUUCACUGAGUGGUGGUGGAGUUGUGGGAUCUUUUACUUUGAACAAAUUAGAGUGUUUCAAGCAGGCUUCUGCCAUGAAUACAUUAGCAUGGAAUAAUCAUUUAGGACUUCGGUUCUAUUUUGUUGGUUUCGAGAGCUGAAGUAAUGAUUGAUAGGGAUAGUUGGGGGUGCUAGUAUUCAGAGGCCAGAGGUGAAAUUCUUGGAUUCUCUGAAGACUAACUUAUGCGAAAGCAUU